rnacentral:rRNA from 1 species
CAUCGAAUCUUUGAACGCACCUUGCACUCCUUGGGCAACCUAUGGAGUAUGCCUGUUUGAGUGUCAUGUUAAUAUCAGUUCCCUCAGGUUACAAACUUAGGUGAAUUGGAAUUGGAGGUUCAAUGCAGGUCCCCCUGGGAUCAGCUCCUCUUAAAUGCAUUAGCUGGAGGAUGAAAGCAAAAGUUGCUCUUUAACCACUGUUCAUCUGCUAUGGUGUAAUAAUUGUUCCAUCAUGGCUUUUGGAUGAAUUUAGAAAAGAGCCUCUUAUUGCAGUCUUGCUCUGCUUCUAAUUGUCAGUUGACUUUAUUGACUCUUUGACCUCAAAUCAGGUAGGAUUACCCGCUGAACUUAAGCAUAUCAAUAAGCGGAGG